rnacentral:rRNA from 1 species
CGUCUAUAUACGUAUAGCAUAUCAAUAAGCGGAGGAAAAGAAACUAACUAGGAUUCCCUCAGUAACGGCGAGUGAAGCGGGAAGAGCUCAAAUUUGAAAUCUUCAAGGUUCUACCUUGACGGAUUGUAGUUUAAAGAAGUGUUUUCUGUUGGAGUUUUGGUAAAAGUUCUUUGGAAUAGGGACAUCAUAGAGGGUGAGAAUCCCGUAUUUGACCAUUAUUUCCACUUUGUGAUACACUUUCAAAGAGUCGGAUUGUUUGGGAAUGCAGUCCAAAAUGGGUGGUAAAUUUCAUCUAAAGCUAAAUAUUGGCGAGAGACCGAUAGCGAACAAGUACCGUGAGGGAAAGAUGAAAAGAACUUUGAAAAGAGAGUUAAACAGUACGUGAAAUUGUCAAAAGGGAAGCGUUUGACACCAGUGUUGUUUUCUCGAAAAUCAAUUAAAAAUGCUGGAUUUUGUGUUGUAUUGACUUUAUCAGCUUUCUGCACUCUUUUCCUGUCUUUUUUAAUGCACUUUUCGUUUAACAAGUCAACAUCAAUUUCUUUUGUUGUAAAAGGGUCAUUGGAAGGUGGCUUUCUUUUCGGAGAGAGUGUUUAUAGCCUUUGGCUUCUGCAAUCGGAGAGAUUGAGGUCUGCAGCGUAGAUCCUUCGGGGUUAGAUACAUUUGUGCUAAGUUAUAGCCUUUCAUAGACAACUUGUUGACUAUGAUCAGUCAUGUAGCUUACUCGCUUAUGUCAUUUUACCUACGCUUAGGAUGUUGACGAUCAGCUGAGCGCG